UGGGGAAUAUUGGGCAAUGGCCGCGAGGCUGACCCAGCCAUGCCGCGUGCAGGACGAAGGCCUUCUGGGUUGUAAACUGCUUUUAUCUGGGAAGAAAACGCCCCUGCGGGGGUAACUGACGGUACCAGGUGAAUAAGCACCGGCUAACUCCGUGCCAGCAGCCGCGGUAAUACGGAGGGUGCGAGCGUUGUCCGGAUUUAUUGGGUUUAAGGGGUGCGUAGGCGGCCCGUUAAGUCAGCGGUGAAAUCCCACGGCUCAACCGUGGAACUGCCGUUGAUACUGGCGGGCUUGAGUACAGACGAGGUAGGCGGAAUUGAUGGUGUAGCGGUGAAAUGCAUAGAUACCAUCAGGAACCCCGAUUGCGUAGGCAGCUUACUAGGCUGUAACUGACGCUGAGGCACGAAAGCGUGGGGAGCGAACAGGAUUAGAUACCCCGGUAGUCC
rnacentral:rRNA from 1 species